rnacentral:rRNA from 1 species
GACGGAGGAGGCAAGCGUUAUCCGGAAUUAUUGGGCGUAAAGCGUCCGUAGGCGGCUUUUUAAGUCUGUUGUCAAAGCCCACAGCUCAACUGUGGAUCGGCAAUGGAAACUGGGGAGCUUGAGUGUGGUAGGGGUAGAGGGAAUUCCCGGUGUAGCGGUGAAAUGCGUAGAUAUCGGGAAGAACACCAGUGGCGAAGGCGCUCAGCUGGGCCACAACUGACGCUGAUGGACGAAAGCUAGGGG